UCGUCGCUGGGCGCCCCCGAAGGUCUCCAAACACUGCAUCUUUGCGUCGGAGUUUAAACAAAUCAAACAAAACUUUCAACAACGGAUCUCUUGGUUCUGGCAUCGAUGAAGAACGCAGCGAAAUGCGAUAAGUAAUGUGAAUUGCAGAAUUCAGUGAAUCAUCGAAUCUUUGAACGCACAUUGCGCCCUUUGGUAUUCCGAAGGGCAUGCCUGUUCGAGCGUCAUUUCACCACUCAAGCCUGGCUUGGUAUUGGGCGUCGCGGCUCCGCGCGCCCUUAAAGUCUCCGGCUGAGCCAUUCGUCUCUAAGCGUUGUGGAUUUUCUAAUUCGCUUCGGGGUGCGGGUGGCCGCGGCCGUUAAAUCUUUAUUCAAAGGUUGACCUCGGAUCAGGUAGGGAUACCCGCUGAACUUAAGCAUAUCAA
rnacentral:rRNA from 1 species